rnacentral:rRNA from 1 species
CGUUGGGAGCUCUCCCAUAUGGUCGACCUGCAGGCGGCCGCGAAUUCACUAGUGAUUCGUAUUACCGCGGCUGCUGGCACAGAGUUAGCCGGUGCUUAUUCUGUCGGUAACGUCAAAACACUAACGUAUUAGGUUAAUGCCCUUCCUCCCAACUUAAAGUGCUUUACAAUCCGAAGACCUUCUUCACACACGCGGCAUGGCUGGAUCAGGCUUUCGCCCAUUGUCCAAUAUUCCCCACUGCUGCCUCCCGUAGGAGUCUGGACCGUGUCUCAGUUCCAGUGUGACUGAUCAUCCUCUCAGACCCGCUACAGAUCGUCGCCUUAGUAGGCCUUUACCCCACCAACUAGCUAAUCCGACUUAGGCUCAUCUAUUAGCGCAAGGCCCGAAGGUCCCCUGCUUUCUCCCGUAGGACGUAUGCGGUAUUAGCAUCCCUUUCGAGAUGUUGUCCCCCACUAAUAGGCAGAUUCCUAAGCAUUACUCACCCGUCCGCCGCUAGGUCAAGUAGCAAGCUACUCUUCCCCGCUCGACUUGCGUGUGUUAAGCCUGCCCCCAGCGUUCAAUCUGAGCCAUGAUCAAACUCUAAUCGAA